rnacentral:rRNA from 1 species
CCUUCGGGGUGAUGGGGACUCACAGGAGACUGCCGGGGUCAACUCGGAGGAAGGUGGGGACGACGUCAAGUCAUCAUGCCCCUUAUGUCUUGGGCUGCACACGUGCUACAAUGGCCGGUACAAUGAGCUGCGAUGCCGCGAGGCGGAGCGAAUCUCAAAAAGCCGGUCUCAGUUCGGAUUGGGGUCUGCAACUCGACCCCAUGAAG